AACAAACGCUGGCGGCGUGCCUAAUACAUGCAAGUCGAACGGGGAAGUACCUUCGGGUAUUGUACUAGUGGCGUACGGGUGAAUAACACGUGGAUAAUCUUCCUUCAGGUGGGGAAUAACCAAUCGAAAGAUUGGCUAAUACCGCAUAAGACCACAGUCUCUCUGGAGACAGGGGUUAAAGGCUUCGGCCGCCCGAAGAUGAGUCUGCGUCCGAUUAGCUAGUUGGUGGGGUAAUGGCCUACCAAGGCGACGAUCGGUAGCUGGUCUGAGAGGAUGAUCAGCCACACUGGGACUGAGACACGGCCCAGACUCCUACGGGAGGCAGCAGUAGGGAAUAUUGCACAAUGGACGAAAGUCUGAUGCAGCGACGCCGCGUGAGUGAUGAAGGCCUUCGGGUUGUAAAGCUCUGUUCUCAGGGAAUAAAAAAAUGAAGGUACCUGAGAAGAAAGGACCGGCUAACUUCGUGCCAGCCGCCGCAGUAAAAC
rnacentral:rRNA from 1 species